GCCGUCGUAGCUCAGUGGUAGAGCAACUGAUUCGUAAUCAGUAGGUCGUCAGUUCAAUCCUGACCGACGGCACCA
rnacentral:tRNA from 1 species